rnacentral:rRNA from 1 species
AAUAAGGUUUCUGUCAUUUGGAAAAGUCACGAUCUCAUCUGAUCUUGGAAGCUAAGCAGGGUUGUGCCUGGUUAAUACUUGGAUGGGAGACCACCUAGGAAGACCGGAUGCUGUAGGUG